CUGGGAUUACAGGCGUGAGCCACCGCGCUCGGCCAAUUUCGAAGUGUUUUCAAACUACUGCAGCCCUCUCCCAUUGCUGUGGUAACUGGAUGGAAAUGCAUCUAGCAAGAGAAAAUGUACAUAAAGAUUACCUCCCUCCCUGCUCUAGGUUUCUGCAGGUGAGAAGGUGUCGUGAUAGAAUAAUGAACAUUUCCUGUGGGGCUGGCACUGUGUUCUACAUAGAACUCAUUUAAUACAACAACCGUAUAACGAGGUAAGUACCAUUAUGGUUCUAUAUUAAAGAUGAAGAAAGUUGCGGCACAGAGAGAUCUGGUAACUUGCUCAAGGUCACAAAACUCCAGAGACCUUGCUCUUAACCACUAUACUAUACUGCCUCUUUCUUAAAAAGCAAAUGUCACCAAAAAGAGACAUUUAGUGACAACCAUUUGACCCACUGGCUGCUGCAGAACAGUGCUUCACUAAUGGAGGCAGGAGGGAGGAAGGUGGGGGUUGGCAUCUCAUGGGUCACAUGGCAAACACUGCUUUCUCGGGCUGAAACUCAAGAGCGGUGAUGCUUGUGGAAUGAACACUGACAGGUUUCCCCCUCCCCCAAGAACAACAAUCACUAGUCUGUAGGGAGCUUCAGUUCUCUGCCCAGAGCUGCGGGUUUCUUCUUCUUUUUUUUUCUUUUUUUUCUUUUUUUUUUUUUUUUUUUUGCAGGAAGCAAGCCAUGUGCAUCAAUUAUCAGGAACGCUUUAAUCCAACUGGGACCCCAAACAAACACCCCGUUUUAAUCCCGGGUGAAGUGAUACAAACAAUUUACAAAGCCUCACGACCCGGCAGCAACCCGAGUCUUACGUGAUCUGGCGAAACUCAUCUGCCUCCUAAGCUCCAACGCCACUGCUUUUCUUUCCCUGUCUCCAGCACUCAGCUCCUUCGGGUCUAUGGCAAUUGUACUUGCUGUUCCUCCUGCCUGGAUUAGUCCUACAGCUUGCCCUGACUGCAUCCUUCUCAUCAUUCAGAUCUCAACGCAAGCAUCACCUCCUUCCUCUGAGGCCUUGGCCUUCAACAUCCCAUUCCCUACCCCACAUCAUUCCAGACUGGAAGCUCUAGAGCUGGCAUUAGAACACUGUCUGGCCCACAAGCCUUCAAUACUUCAACAAAUGCUUGUUGAAUCCAAAAACGCUGAUUACCCUUCAAUCUGCCAGCUCACCCCACUCCCUCUCAAAAUACCUAGGAGAAUUAAUUUACAAAGAAAACAUAAGCAAGCGACAGCGUAACACAUCGACUCAAAACAAAGCCGGUAAUCCGGGGCUGAACUGGUCAACGGCAUUUAAAGAAGGCCCCAAGAAAACCCUUUCCUGAUCGUGCACACACUUUUCAAGAGGCGAAACCAGGGGGACAGGGCGGUCGGCGGCGCAGCGCUGCCUACCUUGAACUCCGCGGAAAGUUGGGGCGUGUAUUCGCGAGUCCAGAGCGCGCGCACCAGCGCCGCCAGCUGCUCGGUGAC
rnacentral:lncRNA from 10 species